AUACGGAGGAUCCGAGCGUUAUCCGGAUUUAUUGGGUUUAAAGGGUGCGCAGGCGGCCAUUUAAGUCAGCGGUUAAAUCGUGGGGCUCAACCCCAUUCUGCCGUUGAUACUGGGUGGCUUGAUUGCGGUCGAGGUUGGCGGAAUUCGUUGUGUAGCGGUGAAAUGCAUAGAUAUGACGAAGAACACCGAUUGCGUAGGCAGCUGACCAGACCGUAAAUGACGCUCAUGCACGAAAGUGCGGGGAUCGAACAGGAUUAGAUACCCUGGUAGUCCGCACAGUAAACGAUGAAUACUUGUUUUCGGCGAUAUAAUGUCGGAGGCAAAGCGAAAGCGAUAAGCCAUCCACCUGGGGAGCACGACCGCAAGGUUGAAACUCAAAGGAAUUGACGGGG
rnacentral:rRNA from 1 species